UAGCAAUACCGAAGGAAGUUUAGUGGCGAACGGGUGCGUAACACGUGGGCAAUCUGCCGAGAAGUGGGGGAUAGCUCGCCGAAAGGCGAAUUAAUACCGCAUGUGAUCAGGAGAGACAUCUUUCUGAAAUUAAAGCCGGGGCAACCUGGCGCUUCUUGAUGAGCCCGCGGCCUAUCAGCUAGUUGGUGAGGUAACGGCCCACCAAGGCUUUGACGGGUAGCUGGUCUGAGAGGACGACCAGCCACACUGGAACUGAGACACGGUCCAGACACCUACGGGUGGCAGCAGUCGAGAAUUUUUCUCAAUGGGGGAAACCCUGAAGGAGCGACGCCGCGUGGAGGAUGAAGGCUUUCGGGUUGUAAACUCCUGUCAUUUGAGAACAAGGAUAGCUAAGUAACUACUAGCUAUUUGAUAGUAUCAGAAGAGGAAGAGACGGCUAACUCUGUGCCAGCAGCCGCGGUAAUACAGAGGUCUCAAGCGUUGUUCGGAUUCAUUGGGCGUAAAGGGUGCGUAGGUGGCGCGCUAAGUCAGGUGUGAAAUUUCGGAGCUUAACUCCGAAACUGCAUUUGAUACUGGCGUGCUUGAGGACUGGAGAGGAGACUGGAAUUCUCGGUGUAGCA
rnacentral:rRNA from 1 species